rnacentral:sRNA from 1 species
UGUGAUAAGCAAUCUGUACAUUAUAUGUAUAUCUCAGAUCUCAAUUUACUUUUGUACCUAUUUAAGGACUUACAAUUCGCAUGAUUUAUCAUCUAAUGUGUUAGUGUGGGUUUUUAUGACGAGUUGAGCCUGCCACAUGAGCCCCCGAGGCGUUUGGCAAGCAGGACAAAGACAACGGCAACGACAACGAUGUCCCAUAAAGUGCGAAAACUUAGGAGUAGUCAGAGCUCAAGAUGUAGCUGGCGCAGAACCCAAACUGAGUCUGAAUCCGAGUCGGGAGCGCUGCUCCUUUAAUACUUUGAUAAUCCUUGGCUCCAGUCGAACUCACAGAGACACAAGCACAAUAACUUUUGAUACGCCGGAAUUCCCUUCCCCGAAAAUCGUCCUGCGAUGUAGACAGCCAUUCAACUUUGUUACUCGAGCUUUAUCGCAGUUUCGCAUGUGUUUGUUUCUCUAUCUCGCUGUGUGUGCGGGGCAAAUUAUAUAAGCAUGAUAAUAUUGUA